rnacentral:rRNA from 1 species
GACGAACGCUGGCGGCGUGCUUCAUACAUGCAAGUCGAACGAGAAGCUGACUUCGGUCAGUGGAAAGUGGCGGACGGGCGAGUAAUAUGUAGGAAAUCUGCCUUUAGGAGGGGGACAACAGAGGGAAACUUCUGCUAAUACCCCAUAUGAGCGUAGCUGAAAUGCUAUUCUUGAAAACUCCGGUGCCUAAAGAUGAGCCUGCAUCUGAUUAGCUAGUUGGUAGUGUAAUGGACUACCAAGGCGACGAUCAGUAGCUGGUUUGAGAGGAUGAUCAGCCACAAUGGGACUGAGACACGGCCCAUACUCCUACGGGAGGCAGCAGUAGGGUAUUUUGCGCAAUGGGCGAAAGCCUGACGCAGCAACGCCGCGUGAACGAUUAAGCCCUUCGGGGUGUAAAGUUCUGUCAGUGGGGACGAAACUUGACGGUACCCACAGAGGAAGCACCGGCUAACUCCGUG